rnacentral:rRNA from 1 species
AGCACCUCAAGUGGUCAGGAUGAUUAUUGGGCCUAAAGCAUCCGUAGCUCGUUUUGUAAGUUUCGGUUAAAUCCAUGCGCUUAACGUAUGGGCUGCCGGGAAUACUGCAUAACUAGGAAGUGGGAGAGGUAGACGGUACUCGGUAGGAAGGGGUAAAAUCCUUUGAUCUAUUGAUGACCACCUGUGGCGAAGGCGGUCUACCAGAACACGUUCGACGGUGAGGGAUGAAAGCUGGGGGAGCAAACC